rnacentral:snoRNA from 1 species
AAGACAAUACUUUCAGGGAUCAUUUCUACAGUUUGUUUCUAGAGAAAUUUGAAUGUGUAGAGUAUGGGAAAUGACAAGAGAUGAAGUGUCCUUUCCUGAGUGUGAAGCUGGCCCUUGCUUUAUUCCAGCUGCUAUUUGCCACUGCUGACCAUUGUUCUCCCUUUGGGGGAAUAACAGGAAGAGGACACCAUCUGAGUGGU